GACGAACGCUGGCGGCGUGCCUAAUACAUGCAAGUCGAACGCAGUGGGGACGGGUGAGUAACACGUGGGUAACCUCCCAUCAGAGGGGAUAACACUUGGAAACAGGUGCUAAACCGAUACUGAUGGAUGGACCCGCGGUGCAUUAGCUAGUUGGUGAGGUAACGGCUCACCAAGGCCACGAGGCAUAGCUGCCCUGCGAGUGUGAGCGGACGCACUGGGACUGAGACACGGCCCAGCCUCCUACGGGAGGCAGCAGGGGGGAAUUUUGGGCAAUGGCAGAAAGUCUGAACGAGCAACGCCGCGUGAGUGAAGAAGGUUUUCGGAUCGUAAAGCUGUGUUGUUAGUGAAGCGGUAGCUAACCAGAAAGCCACGGCUAACUACGUGCCAGCAGCCGCGGUAAUUC
rnacentral:rRNA from 1 species